AGCAGUAGCACACCUGUAAUCCAAGCACAUUGGGAGGCCAAGUUGUGAGUGGCAUUAACUUGCUGCCCUAAAUUUAGAAGCAUAACCUGUAAAGAAAGAAGACCAUCCCUGAGAUGUGUAAGUGAGUAAUUGCCAAAAAGUGCAAGUCCCCAUUGUGCUCAGCAACUGUUCUAAAAUGGAAACUAUGGGGAGCAGAGGGAAGUCUGUGGUUACCUUCCUGAUUCUGCUGGACUGGAAAAACAUAGCUAAUAUGGUGUGAUCUGGAGAAAGCUUUGAUGCAGGGACUUUGCAAAUAAACCUCCAGAUGCCAUAUGGUUUACAUUCAUCUCUCAAUUUAUUUCCUAUAAAUGUCUAUUGAAUAUUCCAUUGAACCAACACAUGUGAAACAAGAGCUGAAAGAGAACAGUAUAUAGAAUACUUUGUGGCAGCAAGUGAUUAUCAUAUUUCUUUCCCAAUAUUGCUACCAGCCUUAAAUGCAUGGCAAAUUAGUCAAAUGCCGAAGUUCUCAGACUUAAGGCAAAAAUCAAGAGAAAAUGUU
rnacentral:lncRNA from 10 species